rnacentral:lncRNA from 1 species
UUAAUGUGUUAUUAGAUCUAAAAGAAUUUCUUAUAGUCUAAUGAGAAUAUAUGCAAAAUUCCCUGUAUGUCUUUUAAUAUAUUAUUUUUCUUAACUCAUGUUAGGGCAUUACAGUCUUCCCUUGGUAUCCUGCUAUUUUGUGGGAGAUUGUUUUCAGGACACCCAUGGAUACCAAACUCCAUAGAUGCUCAAGUCCCUCAGAUAAAAUAGCAUAGUAUUUGCAUGUAACUUACACAUAUCUUCCCAUACGCUUUAAAUUGAACUCCUGACCUCAGGUGAUCCACCCGUCUCGGCCUCCCAAAGUGCUGGGAUUACGGGCUUGAGCCACCGUGCCCGGCCACGUAUAGUACUUUUAAAAUAAGCUGUUAGAUAUUUUUUUGAAUGAAGCUAUUUGAAAUAUUAGGUAGACUUAUAUCAUCUAAAUAAUUAGUUGUUAUGUGGGAUAAUUUUUUCUGUUGUAGGAUAAUGAAAUAUUUAGUAAAAAGGCAAACAUGGAUGCAGAAAAUAUUUUCUCUGGCUAUUUUUAAUUUUUAAGAAUUAUUAAGAAUUAUGUCACGAUUUGAUAGGAAUGUCAAAUGUGAUAAUGCUGUGCUUUCAUAAAUUCACCUAAAUCUCAAAUAUACUGCUUUUUUCUGUUUUUAAUAUGUUAAACAAAAAGUUCCAAUAAGCCUGAGCAACAUACAGAGACCUCAUCUCUACUAAAAAAAUAAAAAAAAUGGCCGGGCAC